GGGCUACAGCGACCGAGCGCGCCCACGACAGGUGUCAGGGCGGCCGGCGCUCCGAACGCCUGCCACCCCGCCCCUCCCCGAGCCCAUGGGCCCCGGGAUGCCAGGGCCGGGGCUGCUAACGCCUUCACCACCAGCGAGAGGGAGAAAGCUUGGGUCUCCAAGAAAGAGACUUUGACUAACUUUGAAGGAGGUGUGGGCCUGACGCCGAAAGCCGAUUCGGAACCGGCCCCCGGCGAAGGUGGAGUUUCGGUCGUUGGAAAGCCUUCCUCUGAGAGAGUCUUAGUGGCGGGAACCUCAGGAGCGAGCAGGCCGGAGAGGGGCCAAGUCAGCUGCCUCGGGGAGCUGUUGAGGAGAGGGAGGCCGGGCUGUAGGCUUGCUGGGCCACGCCACUUCGGGCCAACUGAGUCCCAGAGGGCGUGCAGGACCUGGGCAUGUCUAGGGAACCCGGCAGCACGGGGGAGUCCUGGAAAAUCUGCAGGAACUCAGCUGGCACUGAGGACUAGCGUGGGUGCCAGGAUGAAGCUGAGUUGGGGGUGGGGGGAGUGCUCGGAGCCCUCCUUUCUUUGUCUUAGCAAAUCAGAAAACAACACAGCGAGGAUUUGGAAAGAGAAGAAACGCACACUAUUUCCAAAUGCUGCCAGAUUAACCGAAUGAUUUUAGCACACACUGCAGAUUCACAACGCCACCUAAAACGGCCUUCUACUUCGUAAUCCCCUGGUGGAAGCCUACACUUUGAGUGCCAAGGUCCCUCCCCAAGCCUGAUAUUCUGUGAUUUGCCAGCAGCCUCUCACAAGCUACAUCCAGAUAAAGAAUCACCAACAUGGAAACUAUCCAAAUGUCCAUCAACUGGUUGGUGUGUGAUGAACGAACCUUGGUCCCUCCAUACAAGAGAACACAUACUGCUCAGCAAUGACAGGAAAAUGCUACUGUUGGACAUGACAACAUGGAUUAUUCUCACAAACGCUGUGUCCAGAGAGAGAAAUCAGACUGAAAAAGAGAACGUACUGUUUGAGGAGAUAGGACAAAGCAUCUAAGAAAAGAAAUCAUCAAUCCAUGCUGCAAGACUCUUCAAUUCAUCUCUGAGUGAGUUAUGCACCUCUUCAGUUCUCAAUCCAUUUCUUCAAGACUUGACAAGGGAUCUAGAAGAUUGUGCAGAACUCUAAGAGGUUUGCUAAAUCUUGAACAGUUUAAUCAUAUGAUAUCCCUCAUAUUCAGUUCAGUUCAGUUCAGUUCAGUCGCUCAGUCGUGUCUGACUCUUUGCGACCCCAUGAACCGCAGCAGGCCAGGCCUCCCUGUCCAUCACCAACUCCCGGAUAUAUGGAGUCUUAAAAAAUGAUAAAAAGGAACUUAUUUACAAAACAGAAAGAGUAGAAAACAAACAUGGUUACCGAAGGGGGAGGGAUAAAUUAGGAAUUGGGGGUUAACAGAUGUACACUACUAUAUUCAAUACCUUGUAAUAACCUAUAAUAUAAAAGAUUCUGAAAAAGAAUAUAUGUGUAUGCAUAUAUAUGUAUAACUGAAUCACUUUGCUGUAACAUU